UUUGAGUGAUUAUCCACCUAGUCUGGUAAUCCCCCAAUACCAUCUAAUAUAAUCGACUUCCUCCAUCGGAGGAUAAAGCUGAUCGACAAUGCUCCCAUGCCGCUCAUUCCAUCUAGCGAUGUACGAAUGAUGCACAAGUGGCCAAUCAAUCUGAUGCCCAUCCAUAAACGCUUUUUUUCUCUAUUUUUUCACAAACUAUCUAAGCACGCGAUCCAGCACGUGUAUCUCCACAAUUUCAAAACAAAUGAGAAGAACUCUGGCUCUCCAUAUACCGUGUCCCUCCAUGCAAAUUAGUAGUAGACUAGGUAGGUAAAGUGCAUAUGGCUGCCACUUGAACUACAAAAAAUUCAAUAUAUUAAUAACUCUUUGAAAUAUAUCGGUAGCUUUAAAAAACUUAAAUUCAAAUUUGAUACCUGAUAAAUUUUCAUCCGGUCGAGCUCUUUUCUGUGAAAAUCUAACUGUCUUGUCGGGCAUCAUCAUAUGCUUUAGUGACGUUUUAUCUGCAUGUAUGAUAUAAGGUAGGUUCUAGUUUCAAAUUUAAAAUUUAAAAUUAAUUUUUCAUUAAUUAAAUCCCAAAUUUUUUACCUGCAGCCUAGUGGAAUUUGUCCAUCUAAAUCUUGCAUCUCGCAUAAUCUUUAUUCUCGAAACCAAUCUCUCUCAUGCCCAAACUUGUAACGAUAUCAAACAUCCCUUGAGCUCUUUGUUUUGCAUAAAAGUAACCUUCGAUAUUUCUUUAUUUAUGUAUGCUAAAACAGCACUACUCCAUGAUAAUGUCCUGCACCUGUCGAAGUCCUAGAGAAGCAGUAACCACCUAUCACAUGGCAAAUGUGUUUAGUCAUAUUUUAUAACGAUAAUGAGCAAAAAUCUAGCAAAAAAGAUCAAGAUAGUGCAUUGUAACAAUAACAAGAUGUCUUAUAUCAAAUGUACUUUAUGUUUACUUGAAUUGGGAAAAAGAAACGUCCCGAUCAUGUGCAAAAUAUAUGCACGAGUAUGUUGCUGGAUCAUGACUUAGGAUGCAUCUUCUGACAAGGGGUUUGCAAAAUUUUUUUUAGCCACUUUAAUCUAAUAUAUCCCCAGAUAAGAACUUUAGAGAUAGUCCUAACAAAUUAUCACAGACUCAGCGCUAUACAUGCCUACCAGUCUUCGUAACACAAGGACCAUUAAUGUGGAGACUAAGGAGGCUAGAGACUAACACUUUCCAUCUACGUGUUGGCGAGGCGACUAUUACUCUCUAAGUCGUAGCAGUGAUCAUUGGUCUCGCAUUGAUGGCCCUUGUGUUACAGAGACUGAUAGACAUGUGUGGCGUCGAGUCUGUGAUGAUUUGUUAGGACUAUCUCUGGAGUCCUUGCCUGGUGGAUAUAUUAGAUUGAAGUGGCUAAAAGAAAAUUUCGCAAACCCCUUGCUAGAAGAUGCAUCCCAAGUCAUGAUCCGACAACAUACUCGUGCAUAGAUUUUGCACAUGAUCGGGACGCUUCUUUUUUCCGAUUCAAGUAAACAUAAAGUACAUUUAAGGUAAGACAACUUGUUAUUGUUAUAAUGCACUAUCUUAAUCGUUUUUGCUAGAUUUUUGCUCAUUAUUGUUAUAAAAUAUAACUAAACGUAUUUGUCAUGUGAUAGGUGGUUACCGUUUCUCCAGGACUUCGACAGGUGCAGGCCAUUAUCAUGGGGUAAUGUUGUUUUAGCAUACCUAUAUAGGGAAAUGUCGAAGGUUGCUUUUAUGCAAAAUAAAAAACUUAAAGUCAUGUUUGACAUUGUUACAAGUUUGGGCAUGAGAAAGAUUGGUUUCGAGACCAAGAUUAUGCGAGACGCGAGAUUUAGAUGGACAGAUUUCACUAGGUUGCAGGUAAAAUUUUUUGGAUUUAAUUAAUGAAAAUUAAAAUUUAAAUUUGGAACUAGAACCUACCUUAUAUCAUACAUGUAGAUGGAACGUUAGUAAAGCAUACGAUGAGACCUGGCAAGACAGUUUGAUUUUUACAGAGGAGAGCUCGACCGGAUGAAAAUUUAUCAGUUCGAGUGGUAGCCAUACGCACUUUACCUACAUCGUCUACCACUGAUUUGUAUGGAGGGAUACGAAAUAUGGUGAGUCAGAGUUCCUCUCAUUUGUUUUGAAAAUAUGGAGAUGCACAUGCCAGAUCGCGUACUUAGACAGUUUGGUUUCCCACAACACGCUCCACAAUAUGUCGAAAAAAUAGAGAGAGGGACGUUUAUGGGUAAGCAUCAGAUUAACUGACCACUUGUGCAUCAUCCGUACAUUGCUAGAUGGAAUGAUCGGCAGUGGAGCAUUGUCGAGAAGCUUUAUCCUCCGAUGGAGGAAGUCGAUUAUAUUAGAUGGUAUUGGGGGAUUACCAGAUGGUGGAUAAUCACUCAAACCACGUCUUCAGUCGACGAAAUCGAGAUACGCUCCCAACAAGAAAGAUAUGUACCAAAAGGUGUAGAUAAGACAAAAUGGAUAGACGCUAUGGAUGAGAUAGAGGGGGUUGUAAAUAAGGCAUAGCUACCGUCAAAGAAGAUUCAGUACAUGUAUCGGUAUUGCAUCGGAUAGUGAAGAGGGUUCAUAGAGCUCUUUAUCAAACUCAUGAGGAUCGGCAUGAAGGUCGCAAGCAGAUGGCGCAUGAGAGGGUAUAUGCACGCCGAUGAAGACAUGGUAGAUCUUGCAUGCACAACAAUAAAGCUGGUUCGUCAUAGCCCCACACACAGCCGGAGAGCGAGCACAUACAAGCUCAGGUUGAAAGAGACCACCGACGAUCUGAGCGGGUACGAAGAGGGAGACAACGGGGAAGGGGAGGACUUUUAGGUUGCAUGUGAUAGUUUAUUAGUUUUUUUUACUUAGACUAUGUUUUGUCGUAUGGAUAGACUUGAUACAUUUGGAUUUGUUUAGAGUAUUUUGUCGUAUUAAUAUGUAUAUGACAUAUCUAUUGUGUUGCGAAUUGAUUAAAUGUGUUAUUAUCCAGUUUUUAUUUCUUAAAGUUUAUAACUUUUAUAAAUAUUAUACUGUAUAUCAAUGUAUACGAAGUGGAUGCUAUAUUUUUGAGCAAAAUUUGGUCAAAAAACAAUGUAUAUGAAGCAAAAGAGGCCUUUGUAGGUUUUGUGUCUGCCCAGUAAAUCCACGGGACUACUAGUCCCAUG